rnacentral:rRNA from 1 species
AUGAGUGGCCGGACGGCGGUUAACAUCAAUGGGGAGGUUGGCCCAUACUUCUUGACUGGCCAAGGGGUCCGACAGGGCGAUCCGAUCUCCCCAUUUCUUUUCAACCUUGUGGUUGAUGUGCUCGCCACGAUUCUGGACUUGGCCAAGCGUGCGGGUCACAUUAGGGGGAUUUGCCCUCAUCUGGUGACUCCUGGGGGUCUAACCCACCUCCAGUACGCGGACGACACCAUUAUGAUGGUCGAGGGAUCGGAUGAGGAUAUCCAGAAUCUUAAAUUCCUCCUCCUCUGUUUCCAGGAGAUGUCGGACCUCAAGAUAAACUUUGCCAAGAGCGAGGUAAUGGUCAUGGGAUACUCCCAAGGGGAGGCCCAGCGGAUGGCUAACCGUCUUAACUGCCGCCUGGGUUCCUUCCCUACGACUUAUCUGGGCGUGCCCCUUAGCGAUACACGUCUCCUGGAAAAGGAUUUCCUCCCAAUAGUCGCCAAGCUC